GCCGGGUGUGGUGAUGCACACCUAUAGUCCCAACUACUUGGGAGGCUGAGGUGGGAGGAUCACUCGAGCCCAGGAGUUUGAGGUUACAGUGAGCCGAGAUGGUGCCACUGCACUCCAGCCUGGACAACAGAGUGAGACCCUGCCUCAA
rnacentral:SRP_RNA from 1 species